rnacentral:rRNA from 1 species
GGGUGCGAGCGUUAUCGGAUUUAUUGGGCGUAAAGAGCUCGUAGGCGGUUCGACAAGUCGGGUGUUAAACCCCCAGGCUCAACCUGGGGCCGCCACCCGAAACUGUUGUGACUAGAGUUUGGUAGGGGAUCACGGAAUUCCUGGUGUAGCGGUGGAAUGCGCAGAUAUCAGGAGGAACACCAGUAGCGAAGGCGGUGAUCUGGGCCAAUACCGACGCUGAGGAGCGAAAGCGUGGGGAGCGAACAGGAUUAGAUACCCUGGUAGUCCACGCCGUAAACGGUGGGCACUAGGUGUGGGGACUUUUCAACGGUUUCCGCGCCGCAGCUAACGCAUUAAGUGCCCCGCCUGGGGAGUACGGUCGCAAGACUAAAACUCAAAGAAAUUGACGGGGGCCCGCACAAGCAGCGGAGCAUGUGGCUUAAUUCGAUGCAACGCGAAAAACCUUACCUAGAUUUGACAUGCUGGGAAAAGCCACAGAGAUGUGGUGUCCUUCGGGGCCCAGCACAGGUGGUGCAUGGCUGUCGUCAGCUCGUGUCGUGAGAUGUUGGGUUAAGUCCCGCAACGAGCGCAACCCUUGUUCUAUGUUGCCAGCACGUAAUGGUGGGGACUCGUAGAAGACUGCCGGGGUCAACUCGGAGGAAGGUGGGGACGACGUCAAGUCAUCAUGCCCCUUACGUCUAGGGCUGCACACAUGCUACAAUGGGCGGUACAGAGGGCUGCUAAACCGCGAGGUGGAGCCAAUCCCUAAAACCGCUCUCAGUUCAGAUUGCAGGCUGCAACUCGCCUGCAUGAAGUUGGAGUUGCUAGUAAUCCCGGAUCAGCAUUGCCGGGGUGAAUACGUUCCCG